UGUUAAGGAGAGGAAGCUCAGUUGCCUGCAGUGAGAGAUAAUUGGAGUAAAAUAGAACUGGGCUGACAUUCUGCUAAUUUUCUCAUCGAUUUAACAUUUGAUCUCAAUACAGUUUUCUGUUCUCAAAACUAGAAUAUUUUACAAACAGAUUCAGUGAAGGUUUUGUAGACUUUACCCUUUACCAAAGCUUUAAAAAGUUUUAACCACCUCCGAUAAUCCAUGAAGGAACGUGUCGAACAGGGAUUCCGGGUUCCAGGCACUCUCCGUGGCAACAGUGCAAAGAAAACACAGCAUAGUCUGCCACACUAUAGGAGUCUUGUCGCAGUUGAAGUGGCUUCCGAGCAGCCUCUCCUGGACAACGGAGAAUUGAACACUUUUCUUACCUCCACCACAAACUCCUCAGGCUGAGGCAAACGGUGGAUUGUUGCGCCCAGGAGUGCUUUCCCGGACAUGAGUGAUAACAGGUACGCUAUCUUCGAGCGAUCCGAGGGAAAUUAAAAAGGCUGCAGCUCGAAGAUGAGGGAACACUGGGAGAGAAACGCCCGGCAGGUUUCUGGAUCUCCAACAUAGCGUUCUGGAGACAAAUAAUUAGUAGUAAAACUUUUGGUCUGAAUUUUGAUGUCGCCAGAUUGACUUUAGUUGCAGUGUAGCGUUAGUUAGCUAGCUAUAAUAAAUGGGAGACCUCCAGAUUUUAGCUAGCAAAUGUUAUCAUUGCUAGCUAACUUUGACUAACUUUGCUAAUGACAACAUUGCCAUCUGUCUAAAGUACAUUUCACAACAUGCUGAUGAUGAUGAUGGCAAAGUUGUUUCCUACUAAAUAUGUAAAGAAUUUAGCAAUGGCGUCAUAUUCCUAAACCCCUAUAGUGUAAUGUAGAUGAAACAGACAUUAUCCCCGGUUUAAAGUCAUUAGCCCCAUUCUACUUUGGAGCGUCAGUAUGGAUGCGGCGUCUGUAGAACAUUGAUAACAAUGGCAACAACGCAACGGAGUGACGGAGGUGCAACCCAUGUAUAAGUACACAUUAGUUACAGGUGUGGCGUUAAACCUGGAGAAGUGGAACCAGCUGAAGAAGAUAAUCCGAGACAUUGACACUGUGAUCCCGAAGAUCUAGACCCCCCACGGUGCCCAGUGAGCAGCCAUGACAGCCCAGAUCGAUUCCCCUCUACACAAGCGAACCUGUUGUCACUGACAGUAUAUCACUUUAUUUAAUCCACUGUUAAAUGGCUUUAACAUCCUGCAGAUAUGUUCAAUUAAAGCUCUUUGUUUUACAUUCCUCACUUUACAAAAUAGCUGUCUGUUCUGCAUUUAAAUUCUGUAUUGUUUUAUUUGUUAGUUGGCUUUAUAAGCCAUGGCUUUAGUUGCAAAGAACAGAUGUAUUUUCUGUGUAAGUGUUCUUGACAGCAUUUGUAAAUAGAGAGGACAAAUUAAUGAAGCCUAUAUGAAGUUAGUCGGGGUAGGUUUUUGUUAAAUAAUAGUAUGGUAGCCUGCACUAUCCAUUCAUCUUUGGAAAUGCAUACGUUUCUUGAAGUAACACACAGACUAAAAAACCUUUCUCCAUUAUUACUUUGCUCAUUUUCUCCCAUUAUCUGUUGAGUAAUCAGAUGCAUGGAUUAUGAUCUGAUCAUGGUUUUUAAUGGGGAAGAGCUGCUUUGGUGGUUCAGAAAUAUAUCCCACUAAUUACCAGACUGUAGACAGCAGUGGAAGCUGGUGGGAGGAGCUAUAGGAGGACAGGAUCAUUGUAAUGGCUGGAAUGGAAUUAAUGGAACGGUAUCAAACAUAUGGAAACACCAUGUUUGACUCUCCCAUUGAUUCCAUUCCAGCCAUUACAAUGAGCCUGUCCUCCUAUAGCUCCUCUCAUCAGCCUCCACUGGUAGAUAGUGUAAUGUUCAUUGUUACAUGCUGUUUGACACUGUAGUUAACUGAAGCCGCCUCUUAUAUUCCAGAAGAGAGAGCAAGAAGUCAAUGGAUUGAACACUGCAACUAACAAUGCAAGACCAUCAAGACAAUUAGCAAUAAAUGGGGACAAAAUAAAGGAAUGAUAGUAUGGAAAUAAAGUGGGAAGUUUUCACUUUGAGGGUAAUAGUAUGGAAAUAAAGUGGGAAGUUUUAACUUUGAGGGUAAUAGUAUGGAAAUAAAGUGGGAAGUUUUAACUUUGAGGGUGAUAGUAUGGAAAUAAAGUGGGAAGUUUUACACACAUAUUUAUUUGCAUCGAAAGAUGCUGCAGGUCUUGUCCUGGAGGUUUAAAGCAGUAUGUAGCCUAUUGGAAACAACGUGUAAGCAAAUAAAAAAAUAUUAAUUUAAAGGACA